rnacentral:tRNA from 1 species
GGGGUUGUGGCUCAGUGGUAGAGCACUUGCCUAGAAUGUACGAGGCCCUGAGUUUGAUCCUCAGCACCACA